AACCAGAGCAAAGAAAUGGCCCAGUGC
rnacentral:piRNA from 1 species